rnacentral:rRNA from 1 species
CUUUUUGAAUAUAAUUUAAGGUCUAACCUGCCCUAUGAUUUUUAAAUGGCUGCGGUAUCCUGACCGUGCAAAGGUAGCAUAAUCAUUAGUUUCUUAAUUAGAAGCUGGAAUGAAAGGUUGAAUGARAAAAUAACUGUCUCUGUUUAAUUUAAAUUUGAAUUUUAUUUUUAAGUAAAAAAGCUUAAAUAAUUAUAGAAGACGAGAAGACCCUAUAGAGUUUUACUAAUUUAUUAAUGGGGGCAAGUGGUAUCUUUUUCUUUUUUUAUUGAUAAAUUAGUUUAGUUGGGGUGAUUGAAAAAUUUAGUAAACUUUUUUUAUAUAUUUACAUUAAUAAGUGAGUAUUUGAUCCUUUAUUUAAGAUUAUAAGAAUAAAUUACCUUAGGGAUAACAGCGUAAUUUUUUUAGAGAGUUCUUAUCGAAAAAAAAGAUUGCGNCCUCGAUGUUGGAUUAAAAUAAAAUUUUGGUGUAGAAGCUAGA